AUGAACGCUGGCGGCGUGCCUAAUACAUGCCAGUCGAGCGAACAGACGAGGAGCUUGCUCCUCUGACGUUAGCGGCGGACGGGUGAGUAACACGUGGAUAACCUACCUAUAAGACUGGGAUAACUUCGGGAAACCGGAGCUAAUACCGGAUAAUAUAUUGAACCGCAUGGUUCAAUAGUGAAAGACGGUUUUGCUGUCACUUAUAGAUGGAUCCGCGCCGCAUUAGCUAGUUGGUAAGGUAACGGCUUACCAAGGCAACGAUGAGUAGCCGACCUGAGAGGGUGAUCGGCCACACUGGAACUGAGACACGGUCCAGACUCCUACGGGAGGCAGCAGUAGGGAAUCUUCCGCAAUGGGCGAAAGCUUGACGGAGCAACGCCGCGUGAGUGAUGAAGGUCUUCGGAUCGUAAAACUCUGUUAUUAGGGAAGAACAAAUGUGUAAGUAACUAUGCACGUCUUGACGGUACCUAAUCAGAAAGCCACGGCUAACUACGUG
rnacentral:rRNA from 1 species